CCUCGUCCGGCCGGGAAACUUCCCCAGCCCCCGAGUCUUCUCCCCGCGCUCCGGUGCCGCCGCCGCGGGAGCCGCGCCAAGAGGGUGCUGCUGGAGCUCCUCCGGCUGCCUGCUGCCUCCAGAGAAAAAGGAUGUCAGGCUUGAACCUGUGAUCUCAUCUACUGAAUGUGUCUGCAAAGCAGGACUGAUGACCUCCCAGCUUCUCUGAGGUAUAAUUACAGAGUCACAAAAUGUCUGGGAAUGGAAGUGACCUCUGGAGAUCAUCUAAAUCAACACCCCUGCUAAAUCAGAUUAACCUAGAACAGGUUGCACAGGAUCACAUACAGCAAACGAUUCACUUGAUGAAGAAACUUUAACCCUGAAACGAAGCAGUAUGCCUGGCUGGUUGUGAUAUUAUGCUUAUACGGAUUCCUGAAAGCUAUUGCUGUCCCUAAUUAAUUCUGUGCCUAACUUACUUUACUUACAAUUUUUCACUUCAUUAAUAAAUGUACUGUACAGGAAUAUAAUUUUUAAAUUUUGUCUUAUUUAUUCCCAUUCUCUCUGGAAAAAGAUACACUUGCCCAUAGUUACACUUCACAUGAAAACUGAAGUCACCAUCUCAC